ACGUGAAACUGUUUCCAAAGCUGGAAGCGGGCGGCUGGCGAACUGUCCCCUUAACUGUCGCAACCACUCAACUCUGCCACGGCCGCGCCCAGGCAGCCGGAGGCGGUGUGGCCACGAGUGUGCCUGGCUGUUGCCAGCAGCUUCAUUACGACACAGCGCGGGGCGGAUCUGACCCCGGGCGCCACAUGUGUGCGCCUGCCCUCCACCCUGCCGUGACUGGGUCUAUCACCACUGAGCACGGAGAGGAGAAAAGACAGGCAUGAGUUUAAAUUGUUAUGACAAAAAAUUUGUUUUGCCAGAAAUGCUAAAUCAGAAGACAGACAAGUUCCAGAACGUGGUGGCUGGCGACUGCUGAAGGGUCUCCUUUCCUGGGCAUUUCAGGAAGACACUGUCCACAAAGAAUCCAGGACUAUCCUGACGAGAAAGAGACAUUAAGUUUCAAAGGGUACUGGGACCCCCAGACGAGGAGACAGGCCACAGAUUUCCGCAGCAUCUAAGCCUUGGCUGUCAAGGUCAAGCUCAAACUCAACGAGGAAGCUUCCAUUCGGAGUCUGAGCAAUGUUGGCUCGCUCUGGGCCUGCCCCUCUGCUACUCCUGGCAGCGCUAGCGAGCCUUCACUGCGCCUUCCCCAGGCGCCGGCUCUCCAUGGGUUUCUCCUGUUUCCUACAGAGACUUUGAACAUGAAUGGCAGGCGUCGCCUUAGGUGUCUUUGUGUUAUCGACACUGAGAAUAGGACUAUGUACAAGAUAGCACUUUAAUUUUGUGAACCACAAAAAAUAUAUAUUUGGGGGGAAAACUAAGCUGAUAGUCAAGUUUUUUUUUCAAAAUCAAAACAUUGUCUAAAGUCCCCCGCCAGCCUGCCUUGAAAAAGGAAGCGUGGUCAGCUGCUCAAGUCUAACAGGUGCGCGCUGGUUCUCCAAGAUGUGAAGCAAUCUGAGAAUCGGGUGGUUCUGUGCCCACAAAAUAAGGGAACUCCUGAUCAUUUCACCCAGAGGGGUUGACAGUAAUGUUCUAACGACAUAUUUUUCAGGCCCACGUUUCUUAACUGCAGUGAAAUAAAACCUGUUACUAUUACAUGUCAA